AGCAGCCGCGGUAAUUCCAGCUCCAAUAGCGUAUAUUAAAGUUGUUGCAGUUAAAAAGCUCGUAGUUGAAUUUCGGGGUUAGUAGGUUGGUCAUGCCUCCGGUAUGUACUGAUCUCACUGAUUCCUCCUUCCUUAUGAACCGUAAUGCCAUUAAUUUGGUGUUGCGGGGAAUUUGGACUGUUACUUUGAAAAAAUUAGAGUGUUUAAAGCAAGCUAACGCUUGAAUACAUUAGCAUGGAAUAAUGAAAUAGGACGUUCGAUCUUAUUUUGUUGGUUUCUAGGAUUGACGUAAUGAUUAAUAGGGAUAGUUGGGGGCAUUAGUAUUCAAUUGUCAGAGGUGAAAUUCUUGGAUUUAUUGAAGACUAACUACUGCGAAAGCAUUUGCCAAGGAUGUUUUCAUUAAUCAAGAACGAAAGUUAGGGGAUCGAAGACGAUCAGAUACCGUCGUAGUCUUAACCAUAAACUAUGCCGACUAGGGAUCGGAUGAUGUUAAUUUUUAAUGACUCAUUCGGCGCCUUAC
rnacentral:rRNA from 1 species